rnacentral:rRNA from 3 species
UUGGUUAAGUUAGAAAGGGCGCACGGUGGAUGCCUUGGCACUAGGAGCCGAAGAAGGACGGGACUAACACCGAUAUGCUUUGGGGAGCUGUACGUAAGCGUUGAUCCAGAGAUUUCCGAAUGGGGGAACCCACUAUCUUUAGUCGGAUAGUAUCCUUACGUGAAUACAUAGCGUGAGGAAGGCAGACCCAGGGAACUGAAACAUCUAAGUACCUGGAGGAAGAGAAAGAAAAAUCGAUUUCCUGAGUAGCGGCGAGCGAAACGGAAAGAGCCCAAACCAAGAAGCUUGCUUCUUGGGGUUGUAGGACACUCUAUACGGAGUUACAAAAGAAAGUUAUAAAUGAAGCGGUCUGGAAAGGCCCGCCAAAGACGGUAACAGCCCGGUAGUUGAAAUGGCUUUCCCUCCAGAGUGGAUCCUGAGUACGGCGGAACACGUGAAAUUCCGUCGGAAUCCGGGAGGACCAUCUCCCAAGGCUAAAUACUCCCUAGUGACCGAUAGUGAACCAGUACCGUGAGGGAAAGGUGAAAAGCACCCCGGAAGGGGAGUGAAACAGUUCCUGAAACCGUGUGCCUACAAGUAGUUAGAGCCCGUUAAUGGGUGAUAGCGUGCCUUUUGUAGAAUGAACCGGCGAGUUACGAUUUGUUGCAAGGUUAAGCGGAAAAAGCGGAGCCGUAGCGAAAGCGAGUCUGAAUAGGGCGCAUAAGUAACAGGUCGUAGACCCGAAACCAGGUGAUCUACCCAUGUCCAGGAUGAAGGUAAGGUAAUACUUACUGGAGGUCCGAACCCACGCACGUUGAAAAGUGCGGGGAUGAGGUGUGGGUAGCGGAGAAAUUCCAAUCGAACUUGGAGAUAGCUGGUUCUCUCCGAAAUAGCUUUAGGGCUAGCCUCGAGGUAAAGAGUCAUGGAGGUAGAGCACUGUUUGGACUAGGGGCCCUUCUCGGGUUACCGAAUUCAGAUAAACUCCGAAUGCCAUGUACUUAUACUCGGGAGUCAGACUGCGAGUGAUAAGAUCCGUAGUCGAAAGGGAAACAGCCCAGACCACCAGUUAAGGUCCCCAAAUAUAUGUUAAGUGGAAAAGGAUGUGGGGUUGCUUAGACAACCAGGAUGUUGGCUUAGAAGCAGCCACCAUUGAAAGAGUGCGUAAUAGCUCACUGGUCGAGUGACCCCGCGCCGAAAAUGUACCGGGGCUAAACAUAUUACCGAAACUGUGGAUGAACCUCUUUAGAGGUUCGUGGUAGGAGAGCGUUCUAAGGGCGGUGAAGUCAGACCGGAAGGACUGGUGGAGCGCUUAGAAGUGAGAAUGCCGGUAUGAGUAGCGAAAGAAGGGUGAGAAUCCCUUCCACCGAAUAUCUAAGGUUUCCUGAGGAAGGCUCGUCCGCUCAGGGUUAGUCGGGACCUAAGCCGAGGCCGAUAGGCGUAGGCGAUGGACAACAGGUAGAGAUUCCUGUACCAGUGCUAAUUGUUUAACCGAUG